GACGAACGCUGGCGGCGUGCUUUAGGCAUGCAAGUCGAACGCGAAAGCCCCUUCGGGGGUGAGUAGAGUGGCGAACGGGUGAGUAACACGUGGGUAACCUGCCCCUCGCAGGGGGAUAACCGGGGGAAACCCCGGCUAAUACCCCGUACGCUUGCUGGGGCGCAUGCUCCGGCAAGGAAAGGUAGCUUCGGCCAUCCGGCGAGGGAGGGGCCCGCGGCCCAUUAGCUAGUUGGUGGGGUAACGGCCCACCAAGGCGACGAUGGGUAGCUGGCCUGAGAGGGUGGCCAGCCACACUGGGACUGAGACACGGCCCAGACUCCUACGGGAGGCAGCAGCCAGGAAUCUUGCGCAAUGGGCGAAAGCCAGACGCAGCAACGCCGCGUGGGCGAUGAAGGCCUUCGGGUCGUAAAGCCCUGUUGUCGGGGACGAAGGGCGAAGGGUUAAUAGCCCCUAGCCUGACGGUACCCGACGAGGAAGCCCCGGCUAACUACGUGCCAGCAGCCGCCGUAA
rnacentral:rRNA from 1 species